UACAGAGGGUGCGAGCGUUGUUCGGAAUUAUUGGGCGUAAAGGGCGCGUAGGCGGUGCGGUAAGUCACCUGUGAAAUCUCCUGGCUCAACUGGGAGCUUGCAGGCGAAACUGCCGUGCUGGAGUGUGGGAGAGGUGCGUGGAAUUCCCAGUGUAGAGGUGAAAUUCGUAGAUAUUGGGAAGAACACCGGUGGCGAAGGCGGCUCACUGGCUCAUUACUGACGCUCAGGCGCGACAGCGUGGGGAUCAAACAGG
rnacentral:rRNA from 1 species